rnacentral:rRNA from 1 species
CUACCAUGCAGUCGAGCGGGAUAUACCGGUUUAGUUUACUAAGCUGGUAAAUUCAGCGGCGGACGGGUGAGUAACGCGUGAGCAAUCUGCCUUGUACAGGGGGAUAACAGCCGGAAACGGCUGCUAAUACCGCAUAAGGCCACAGUACCGCAUGGUACAGGGGUCAAAGGAGAGAUCCGGUAUAAGAUGAGCUCGCGUUCCAUUAGCUGGUUGGUGAGGUAACGGCCCACCAAGGCAACGAUGGGUAGCCGGCCUGAGAGGGUGAACGGCCACAUUGGGACUGAGACACGGCCCAAACUCCUACGGGAGGCAGCAGUGGGGGAUAUUGCGCAAUGGGGGGAACCCUGACGCAGCAACGCCGCGUGAGUGAAGGAGGCCUUCGGGUCGUAAAACUCUGUGACAGGGGAAGAAGAAAGUGACGGUACCCUGAGAGGAAGCCCCGGCUAACUACGUGCCAGCAGCCGCGGUAAUACGUAGGGAGCAAGCGUUGUCCGGAUUUACUGGGUGUAAAGGGUGCGUAGGCGGCACUGCAAGUCAGGCGUGAAAGGCGGAGGCUUAACCUCCGAGUUGCGUUUGAAACUGUGGUGCUUGAGUGAAGUAGAGGUAGGCGGAAUUCCCGGUGUAGCGGUGAAAUGCGUAGAGAUCGGGAGGAACACCAGUGGCGAAGGCGGCCUACUGGGCUUUAACUGACGCUGAGGCACGAAAGCAUGGGUAGCAAACAGGAUUAGAUACCCUGGUA